CAAUAGCGUAUAUUAAAGUUGUUGCAGUUAAAAAGCUCGUAGUUGGAUUUCUGGUAGGAGCGACCGUGCCGAACUUGAUUGUUCGAGUAUUGUGUUGUCUUCAGCCAUCCUCGUGGAGAACUUUUCUAACAUUAACUUGUUGGGAUUGGGACCCGCGUCGUUUACUGUGAAAAAAUUAGAGUGUUUAAAGCAGGCAUUAGCUUGAAUACAUUAGCAUGGAAUAAUAAGAUAGGACUUUGGUACUAUUUUGUUGGUUUGCAUACCAAAUUAAUGAUCAACAGGAACAGUUUGAGGAUAUUCGUAUGAACAUGUCAGAGGUGAAAUUCUUGGAUUUUGAUCAGACGAGCUACUGCGAAAGCAUUUAUCAAGGAUGUUUUCAUUAA
rnacentral:rRNA from 1 species